rnacentral:lncRNA from 1 species
AUGUUUCUCUCCCUGACUUUUCUCUCCCAGUGUCUCUCACCUCUCUCCUCCCCUCUGGUUCUCUCACUUCCCUCUCCUCUCCCCUCCCCUCUCUUUUCCUCAAUUCCCUCUCCUCUCUCUUCUGUCUCUCUCAUUUCUCUCCUCCUCUCCUUCUCUCUCCCUCACUUCUCUCCCUCCUUCCCUUUCUAUCCCCUACUUCUUUCUCUCCUCCCUAUCUCCCUCACUUCUCUCUCUUCCCAUCUUUUUCCAUCACUUCUCUCUCCUUCCCUCUCUCUCCCUCCCUUCUCUCUCCUUCACUUCUCUGUCCUCCAAUCUCUCUCCUUCACUUCCCUCUCCUCCCAUCUCUCUCCCUCACUUCUCUCCUCCAAUCUCUCUCCCCCACUUAUCUCUCUCAUCUCCCUCACUUCUCUCUUCCCAUCUUUCUCCAUCACUUCUCUCUCCUUCCCUCUCUCUCCCUCACUUCUCUCUCCUCCAAUCUCUGUCUCACUUCCCUCUCCUCCCAUCUCUCUCCCUCACUUCUCUCUCUUCCAGUCUCCCUCACUUCUCUCUCCCCUUCCCUAUCCCUCACUUCUCUCUCUCCCUCCCUCAUUUUUCUCUCUCCCCCCUCUCCCUCAUUUCUCUCCUUCCCUCUCUCUCCCUCACUUCUCUCUCCUUCCUUCUCUCUCUCUCACUUCUCUCUCUCCUCCCCAUGUCCCUCACUUCUCUCUCUCCUCCCCUCUCUCUUCCACACUUCUCUCUCCUUCCCUUUCUAUCCCUCACUUCUAUCUCUCUCACUUCUCUCUCCUUCCCCCUCUCUCCCACACUCCUCUCUCCUUCCCUCUCUAUCCCUCACUUCUCUCUCUCCUUCCCUAUCCCUCACUUCUCUCUCCUUCCCUCUCUAUCCCUCACUUGUCUCUCUCCUUCCCUAUCCCUCACUUCUCUCUCCUUCCCUCUCUAUCCCUCACUUCUCUCUCUCUUCCCCUCUGUCUCUCUCCCUCAUGUCUUUCUUUUCCUCUUUUCUCCCCCUUCCUCUUCUCUACUGCCUGUGCCUCAGAUACUACCACCAUGUACUCUUUAUCACUCAGUCCCCAGGAAAAGUGGAAGCUUGCCUUAACUCAUUAG